rnacentral:piRNA from 1 species
UGCAAUCUUUCCCUCUUGGAUCUGCAAAAUU